UGGGGAAUAUUGCGCAAAGGGGGAAACCCUGAAGCAGCGACGCCGCGUGGAGGAUGAAGGCCUUCGGGUCGUAAACUCCUGUCAAGAGGGAAGAAACCUGUACGGAUUAAUACGCCGUGCAACUGACGGUACCUCUAGAAGAAGCACCGGCUAAUUCC
rnacentral:rRNA from 1 species